rnacentral:rRNA from 1 species
AUGACUGCGUCCGUCUCCUACGGGCUGCGAGCUCUUCCGACGUGGUCCAGCUCUGUGUCCGGUGACGACCACUGCUCGGCGCUGGCCAUGUCGGUGUCGGCGCGGGGGCCCCGGUCGACGCGGCCCCUUCGGACGCCGGCGAGGAUGGGCAAUGUAAACGAGGGCAAGGGCAUCUUCGCGCCCCUGGUGGUGGUGGUGCGCAACAUCGUCGGACGCAAGCGCUUCAACCAGCUCAGGGGCAAGGCCAUCGCGCUGCACUCCCAGGUGAUCACCGAGUUCUGUAAGACCAUCGGCGCUGACCCCAAGCAGAGGCAGGGCUUGAUCCGCCUCGCCAAGAAGAACGGAGAGAAGCUCGGAUUCCUUGCUUGA